GUGGACGGGAAGGGGGAGUUAGAAGAGGAGAUUUCUCCUCUAGAGGGUUCAAUGUCAGAAGGGCUCAGGGUGGUUUAGGAUGAAAUUAUUUCCACUGAAUUUUAAAUUGAGCUGUAAUUAAAAAACACUUAUGAGGAUAGAUUUUCGCUGACUUUCUGUUACAAAGAUUAUAAGAAAAUAAAAUUUGGAGAUCUUCAAGAAAUGGCAGACAGUUAUCUAUGGUGAGGAACAAUUUCUAUGCUGUCAGACUCCUCCCAUCCACCUGCGUGGUUCUCAGCCAGACCUCCAACUGCAGGAGGAGCCACCAGGACCCGUUGGCAGCAUCCUGCAUUUGUCAAGCUAGUGGAUGCUGGUUAAUAGGGAAAGGAAGUUUGGUGAUGGAGGGGCAGAAACACCUGAACUCUAAGAAGAAAGGACUGAAAGCCUCCUUCUCUCUCUCACUGACCUUCACUUCGAGACUGG
rnacentral:lncRNA from 1 species